UUUUAUUCUAAUUUAAAUCCUCCAUAUUGCACACACUCUCUCAAUCUCUCUCACUCAUGCUUGUCUUUCUUUUUCAGAACCUUCCACAACCUAAGCCACUACUCCUCCUCCCUCCGCCAAACACCACCGCUUCCACUGCAACUUACGCCAUCUCCCUCCACCGCAACUUGCCAGGCAGGACUCCAUCACCACUCUCAUCGACAUCACUACCACACCAAAACCCUAUCCUCCAACCUCACCUCCGUUCUCAAACAACUCCAAAGGCGACUCUGCGCUAGUUUUCUCCCCCAAUGUUCUCCAUGUUUGGAUCCUCUGUUUCGUUGCUCCACCUUUCUUCGUUCCACUCUCGCGCGUUUGAUCUUCUUCUACUCUAAGGAGAGGGAACUGAUUUCGGAGAUAGAUUAAUAAUUUCAUUAGGUUUCAGAGAUUACAUUUUGCAUUUUACUUGUUAACCUUUCAGCCACUCGAUUUGGUCUUUCUCUUUUGCUAAUCGAAGUGGAAUGAAUUGAUUUCACAAAUUAACUGUUUCAUUUGAUUUUGGAGAUUACUUGUUGCAAUUUACUUGUUGAUCUUCAUUCCUUUUACUUUUUUAUGCAGAAAAGCUUGUGUGAAUUUGACGCUUGUUGUCAAGACUUAUUAGCUAUUACUUUGAAUUUCAUAUUAGGUAUCAAUUUGCUCUUUAACUUCACUUAUUCGAAGGUGAACAAAUUGAUUUCAAAGAUUAAAUAAUCCAAUUUGAGAUGUUUUCUCUUUUCUCUGCUUCUUCAAUAAUUCAAUUGGCUGCUUAAUUAAUUAAUUGAUUGAUUAAUGAAUUGUUAUUGGUAAUUGGUAGCUCUCAAGUUUAUGCUUAUGCUUGUGCAUUACAUUAGACUUCUAUGAUUCUAGUUAUUUUAGAUUUCAUGUUUCAUUGAAUGUGAAGUGACUUAUUUGUGUAAUGUUGUUUGGGUACGGGAUCAUGAAUGAAUCAUUUCUUGCAAUUAUGCAUGCAUUUUAUUUUUUUUUCAUUCGGGAAUCACUAAUAUAAUAUGCAUAUGAUGUUAAAAGCUAUUAUGUUUGUUAUUGUUGAAUCUUGUUGUCGUAUAAAGAAAGGCUAGUUGACACUAAUAUAAUAGCCAUAUGAUGUGUCGUUUGUUACUUGAAUGAGGAUUUAUGAUUUAGAAAUAGAAAAGGAUUGAAUAAAUGGAAAAUAGUCAAUACUUAGUUGAAAAUUUUGAUUUGGAUUAGAAAUUUAAUGUUAGAUUUCUAGCCCAUUGCAUGGCUAGAUAGGGUUAAAUAGUCAUUGUAUAUGGAUAAAUCUGGUUAAAUUAGCUUUACUGUUUAGUGUUUAUCUAUAAAAUGUGAACAAACUAGUUCAUUAUUUUUCAGCUAUUAACUUUCUGUUGAAGUAAUUUUACAUAACUUAAUAUGCUUGAUAUAAGUAAAUGGAAAUCAUGAGACCAUAAAUGUGGAAGGGGAUUUCAAAAUCAGCCAAGAAGCAGGGCAUGGAAGUUCAUUCUCUGUGAAUGAAUCAUAAACUUGUAGCUAAUAAAAUUUUUUGGUUGCUCAUCACAACUCACAAAGUCUGAAUAGCUAUCCAAAGGAGUAAUGCUACUGCCAUUGUUGUUACCAAUGUGUCUGAUAUUAAACACUAGUACAAUAGAUUUGAUUUUAUAGAUUAGACAAGAGUAUGCCAGAAAGCUUGAAGAAGUGAUAUUCUCUUUCCCUUCUACACUUGUAGAUAAAGUAUGGUUAUCUUUUCUUUGUUUGUUGAUGCUCAUCUCAUAGUUGAGCUUGCGGAUUUGUAUUAUUGUUGCCUAGAACAUAUUUUGUUUCUAAAGUCCUUUUAUGCUUUUAUAUGCCAACUAGAACAUAUCUUCAAACAAACAACAAGAACUCAGUUAAUUAGCAAAGUCAGAAAACAAUAUCAUUAGUUGUUAUAGAGUCAUUUCAUGUUUAUAUUAAUUUCAACAUUUGGAAGU